rnacentral:rRNA from 1 species
CCUACGGGUGGCAGCAGUGGGGAAUAUUGGACAAUGGGGGGAACCCUGAUCCAGCCAUGCCGCGUGUGUGAAGAAGGCCCUCGGGUUGUAAAGCACUUUCAGUGAGGAAGAACGCCUGGUGGUUAAUACCCAUCAGGAAAGACAUCACUCACAGAAGAAGCACCGGCUAACUCCGUGCCAGCAGCCGCGGUAAUACGGAGGGUGCGAGCGUUAAUCGGAAUUACUGGGCGUAAAGCGCGCGUAGGUGGCUUGAUAAGCCGGUUGUGAAAGCCCCGGGCUCAACCUGGGAACGGCAUCCGGAACUGUCAAGCUAGAGUGCAGGAGAGGAAGGUAGAAGUCCCGGUGUAGCGGUGAAAUGCGUAGAGAUCGGGAGGAAUACCAGUGGCGAAGGCGGCCUUCUGGACUGACACUGACACUGAGGUGCGAAAGCGUGGGUAGCAAACAGGAUUAGAUACCCGAGUAGUC